GACGAACGCUGGCGGCGUGCUUAACACAUGCAAGUCGAACGGAAAGGCCCUGCUUCUGUGGGGUGCUCGAGUGGCGAACGGGUGAGUCACACGUGAGUAACCUGCCCUUGACUUUGGGAUAACUUCAGGAAACUGGGGCUAAUACCGGAUAGGAGCUCCUGCUGCAUGGUGGGGGCUGGAAAGUUUCGGCGGUUGAGGAUGGACUCGCGGCUUAUCGGCGUGUUGGUGGGGGAGUGGCUUACCAAGGCUUUGACGGGUAGCCGGCCUGAGAGGGUGACCGGCCACAUUGGGACUGGGCUACGGCCCAGACUCCUACGGGAGGCAGCAGUGGGGAAUAUUGCACAAUGGGCGGAAUCCUGAUGCAGCAACGCCGCGUGAGGGAUGACGGCCUUCGGGUUGUAAACCGCUUUCGCCUGUGACGAAGCGUGAGUGACGGUAAUGGGUAAAGAAGCACCGGCUAACUACGUGCCAGCAGCCGCAGUAACAC
rnacentral:rRNA from 1 species